UACAGAGGUCUCAAGCGUUGUUCGGAUUCAUUGGGCGUAAAGGGUGCGUAGGCGGCGCGGUAAGUCGGGUGUGAAAUCUCGGAGCUUAACUCCGAAACUGCAUUCGAUACUGCCGUGCUUGAGGACUGGAGAGGAGACUGGAAUUUACGGUGUAGCGGUGAAAUGCGUAGAUAUCUGGAGGAAUACCGGUGGCGAAGGCGGCAUCCUGGACCGACAUCGACGCUGAGGAGCGAAAGCCAGGGGAGCAAACGGG
rnacentral:rRNA from 1 species